rnacentral:rRNA from 1 species
UACGGGGGGAGCAAGCGUUGUUCGGAUUUACUGGGCGUAAAGGGCGCGUAGGCGGCCAGCACAAGUCAGUUGUGAAAUCUCCGAGCUUAACUCGGAAAGGUCAACUGAUACUGUGCGGCUAGAGUGCGGAAGGGGCAACUGGAAUUCUUGGUGUAGCGGUGAAAUGCGUAGAUAUCAAGAGGAACACCUGCGGCGAAGGCGGGUUGCUGGGCCGACACUGACGCUGAGGCGCGAAGGUCAGGGGAGCAAACGGG